GCAUAUUUGUAAUUUGAAGAGGGAAGCUGAAGUAUUCGGGGGUUUGGGUGUGGUUGAAUUCCGGAUGUAUAAGAUAUCGGGACGAAAGGCUCGGUGGAAGGGCUGAGUCCUGGACCGAUCUUUGUCAUCCGACCUUUGCCAUGACAGGUGCGCUUGCAUGGCAGGUCAUAAAAAUACCUCAAUAAAAAAACAAACGAUUUUUUGGUUUUGAGGGGAGACAGCAUGGGGGUUUGCCCAGGGUCUCCCCUCUGGUGUGUGUGCGCUCUGUGUCCUCCUUUCUCUUUGUUCUCUGUUUUUUUUGUUGCUCUCUUCUCCAUGCACACCAGUCGAGCACGGAUCGUGGACAUCGACAACAACGAAAUCUCGCGCCUAAAGGUAUUAUCUGCCCAAGUCUAUAUUCUUUUAGUUAAUAUUCAUCAUGGUACCCAGAUCUGCAAAUUUCACACCAAAUUCACACGAACACCUAUCUAAACAUGGUACUUAAAUCUGCAGCUACACGAUUAAUUAGUUUUAUGCGGUUUUAUUUAUCUUAAUUAACAAGGGAUUAAGCUUAUUGGGUUAUAUUAAGCAUAACUGGGGACUUGAUAGGGCUUGGUAAUAAUUUUUGUUUAC
rnacentral:lncRNA from 1 species